GCUGGCGGCAGGCCUAACACAUGCAAGUCGAGCGGUAACAUUUCUAGCUUGCUAGAAGAUGACGAGCGGCGGACGGGUGAGUAACGCGUAGAAAUCUACCUAGUAGUGGGGGAUAGCCCAGAGAAAUUUGGAUUAAUACCGCAUACGCCCUACGGGGGAAAGCGGGGGAUCUUCGGACCUUGUGCUAUUAGAUGAGUCUGCGUCGGAUUAGCUUGUUGGUGAGGUAAUGGCUCACCAAGGCGACGAUCCGUAGCUGGUCUGAGAGGAUGACCAGCCACACUGGAACUGAGACACGGUCCAGACUCCUACGGGAGGCAGCAGUGGGGAAUAUUGCACAAUGGGCGCAAGCCUGAUGCAGCCAUGCCGCGUGUGUGAAGAAGGCCUUAGGGUUGUAAAGCACUUUCAGCAGUGAGGAAAGGGGUGUCGUUAAUAGCGCCAUCCUGUGACGUUAACUGCAGAAGAAGGACCGGCUAACUCCGUG
rnacentral:rRNA from 1 species